ACAUGGCAAUGGAUUUAUGUUGAAGUCUGAUCAGUGACUCCAUCAUAGUGUACUCCAUGUAAGAAUAAACCCUGGCUCCGAACCAUUGGCAGGUCUCUAUUCCAGUAGAUCUGUUCACUGAAGUGAGCUGUACAAUU